rnacentral:rRNA from 1 species
CCUACGGGAGGCAGCAGUGGGGGAUAUUGGACAAUGGGGGGAACCCUGAUCCAGCGACGCCGCGUGAGUGAAGAAGUAUCUCGGUAUGUAAAGCUCUAUCAGCAGGGAAGAAGAACUGACGGUACCUGAGUCAGAAGCCCCGGCUAACUACGUACCAGCAGCCGCGGUAAUACGUAGGGGGCAAGCGUUAUCCGGAAUUACUGGGUGUAAAGGGAGCGUAGACGGUGAUGUAAGUCUGGAGUGAAAGGCGGGGGCCCAACCCCCGGACUGCUCUGGAAACUAUGUGACUGGAGUGCAGGAGAGGUGAGCGGAAUUCCUAGUGUAGCGGUGAAAUGCGUAGAUAUUAGGAGGAACACCAGUGGCGAAGGCGGCCUGCUGGGCUUUAACUGACGCUGAGGCUCGAAAGCGUGGGGAGCAAACAGGAUUAGAUACCCCUGUAGUC